AAACAUCGCCUCUUGCAAACUUAAUAAAUAAGAGGUCCCGCCUGCCCUGUGACUAUUUGUUUAACGGCCGCGGUAUUUUGACCGUGCGAAGGUAGCGCAAUCACUUGUCUUUUAAANGAAGACCCGUAUUAAUGGCAUAACGAGGGCUUAACUGUCUCCUCUUUCCAGUCAAUGAAGUUGAUCUUUCCGUGCAGAAGCGGGAAUACAAACAUAAGACGAGAAGACCCUAUGAAGCUUUAGACACCAAGGCAGAUCAUGUUAAAUAACCCAAAAUAAAGGGGUAAACCAGAUGGAACCUCCCCGAAAGUCUUUGGUUGGGGCGACCACGGGGAAUUAAAAAACCCCCRCGUGGAACGGGAGCACCCCCUCCUACAACUAARAGCCACAGCUCUAGUAAACAGAAUCUCUGACCAGCAAGAUCCGGCAGUGCCGAUCAACGAACCGAGUUACUCUAGGGAUAACAGCGCAAUCCUCUUUUAGAGCCCAUAUCGACAAGGGGGUUUACGACCUCGAUGUUGGAUCAGGACAUCCUAAUGGUGCAGCCGCUAUUAAGGGUUCGUUUGUUCAACGAUUAAAGUCCUACGUGAUCUG
rnacentral:rRNA from 1 species